GGGGUUGUGGCUCAGUGGUAGAGCACUUGCCUACUAUGUGUGAGGCAGUGGGUUCGAUCCUCAGCACCA
rnacentral:tRNA from 1 species